rnacentral:lncRNA from 1 species
GAAGGGGUUGCUGUCAGGGGUCCAGGAACUCCUCUGCCUAGAAAGGAAAGUUAGCAGUGACCAACUGGGAGAGGGACAAGAGCAUGUGGCUGGAUUGGAAGUGGCCACGAAGGUCACAUCUGGCUUGGUGUCCUCACCUCCUGACAUAGGGGUCUGAGUAUCUCCAGUGAUCCCUGCCAGCAUCCACGAGACAGGCAAGAGAAAGAGUGCUUUGUGAAGGCCCUGCAGCAGAAGACAGACACAGAAGUAGAACUUCACGAAGAAGCUUGAUCCCAGGGCCACUGGAGUCUGAGGACCAGGUUUAGGUUUAGGAUGGAGAGCCAUGAUAAUCCAGAAAAUAAUGAGAUAGAUGCCUGAAUUGAUGCCUGUGCCAGAUACCAUCUUCUUCAGCAAUGUGGUUUUACCCUUGACUUCCAGAAAGGAAGGAAGAGCAAUGGCAGCAGUCUUUAAUGAUUGGGGAGUAUGUAUGAGACUCAAUGAUGAGCAACCUCAAACAAGGUGAUAUUUGGAUGGCCACACACACCAACAACAUCAGCAAAACUGGUGUGAAGAAAAAUAUCUAUGUCCUUACAUCUUGGUCUAUACCUGUUAACAACCAGCAUUGCAACAUCACAUAGGCGGUGAUAUUUGGAUGGCCACACACACCAACAACAUCAGCAAAACUGGUGUGAAGAAAAGUAUCUAUGUCCUUACAUCUUGGUCUAUACCUGUUAACAACCAGCAUUGCAACAUCACAUAGGCGGGUGGAGGUAGCCAGGCUAGUACCAAAACAUGCCCCAGUCCUCCUUUCCCACUCUGGGAUUGCAGGCAUGAUUGCAACAUCACACCCAGAUCUUCCUCAUUUUAAAAGAGUAAUCAUAUCCAGGGAAGAGCAUCCCAAGACAACGUAAAGAGCUCAGCAAGUGUAUGUCAUGCAGCCCGGCAGCUCUGUUGAAGCUGUUGCCACACGGAAAUGCUGGUAACUCUUUAGGGGUGUCUGUGCCUUCUUCACUUGCGCACCAUCUCUUCUCAAUAAACAACAACAACAAACCA